rnacentral:rRNA from 1 species
GAUGAACGCUGGCGGCGUGCCUAAUACAUGCAAGUCGAGCGAACAGACGAGGAGCUUGCUCCUCUGACGUUAGCGGCGGACGGGUGAGUAACACGUGGAUAACCUACCUAUAAGACUGGGAUAACUUCGGGAAACCGGAGCUAAUACCGGAUAAUAUAUUGAACCGCAUGGUUCAAUAGUGAAAGACGGUUUUGCUGUCACUUAUAGAUGGAUCCGCGCCGCAUUAGCUAGUUGGUAAGGUAACGGCUUACCAAGGCAACGAUGCGUAGCCGACCUGAGAGGGGGAUCGGCCACCCUGGAACUGAGACACGGACCAGACGCCUACGAGAGGCAGCAGUAGGGAAUCUUCCGCAAUGGGCGAAAGCCUGACGGAGCAACGCCGCGUGAGUGAUGAAGGUCUUCGGAUCGUAAAACUCUGUUAUUAGGGAAGAACAAAUGUGUAAGUAACUAUGCACGUCUUGACGGUACCUAAUCAGAAAGCCACGGCUAACUACGUG